AUUGUAACCGUUUUUUUCAAUGCAUUCAAAAUUGCUGUCUAACGUAAUGUCUUUUAAUGGUUAGUUAUUAAAAUUUUAAUUGUUUAAUAGAUGCUAUUUUAAUUUGUUCAAAUUUGUUUAUUGUAUUUGGUCAUGGUCUCCUUGAUUGUAAUGGUUAACAAAAGUUAACCUGAAGAGCCAAUACAUAUAAAUAUAUACUAAUGAUGCUAUCAAUCUUGGCGGCAAUGAUGAUGAGCAAGAUGAAAAGGACAAGGUCAUUGAAUAAGAGGACCAGCAAAUAUUAUCAACAUCUUUAUUGCUAUAAAAAUUCACACUUUAUUAUUGCAUUGGCGCUAAGAAAGACCGUUUAGGGCUGAAAGGAAGAAUGGCCAAUAGGUUUUAGUAUCAACUAUCCACCAACAGAUUAAUUUAUUAGGUGAAUAAAUCGAUGAGCCUCUGGUCUCUGUGAAACGAUUUUGCCAUAAAUUUGUAUGUAAAAUAUUGUCAGUCGAGCCAUAAGACAACUUGUAUACUUUACUUGAGCAAGGAUCUUAACCAUUCGUUGACUCGAUGAAGUUCACAAGAAAUAAAUUUUUAACUACAAUUAGCAUAA